UUUUUGAGCUCAGAUGAGGAGGUUACUUCCAAUUCGCUAAUUGGAAACUUCAUUCAUGGCAAUGGCCAUGUUUCCUAGUGGGAACUCGAACUGAUGGCACGGCGACUGAAAUUAAACUCAUUCUCAUGAAAGAGAAAUCCCCGCGGAAAGAAGCAGACGACGAACAACAAACGAAUCUCCGAUAAGCGACACUCAGCGAUAAAGCAACUGCGGCAACAGCGGCAGCGGCCCAUGCGGCGUAUGAGUAAUUGGCCCAAACAAUGGGUUGGAUAGGUGAAAAGGGGCUGCAGGGGAAGGGGUGCAAAGGUAGCGUACACAGCCAUUCCGAACCCCUCGAUUGGGGCUAUCAAAGUUGGCUGUGACACAAAUUGAUAUGCAUUUUGCCUUUCAUUGUGAGAGUGGAAUGCCGCCCUGCCCCCAAACCCAUCUAUACUUCACGAAUUCAUCGGUAAUAAAUAUACUCGUGAUGGUAUA